rnacentral:lncRNA from 1 species
GGCGGCAGCGCCCCGGACCCCCCUAGUUCGCGCUACCCAUUCAAGUUCUCGGGCCCUUGCGCGCGAUCCGGAGGUGGCACCCGCCACCCGCCCUGCCUCUGUGCCCCGGUUUCCAGACACCGCGCGGAAAUUUAGGUCAAGGACGCCGGGAGCACACCCACACCCUGCGCUCCCGGGGCGGUCCCCGAGACCCCGGGAAUCGGGGGGCUGCGGGAUGAAGGAGACCCUCCCACACAAACACCAGCCACAAGUUUUAUUUUCCCUUCGCGCGGCAAGUUCUCUGGCUCCCCCGCUCCACACCCGCACGUCCUGCACGGCUCCCCGCCCUUCCCCGGCAGAGGUUGGGCAGUGGUGGCUCACACCUUUAAUCCCAGCACUUGGGAGGCAGAGGUAAGUGGAUCUCUGUGAGUUUGAGGCCAGCCUGGUCUACAGAGUUUCAGGACAGCCAGGGCUGUUACACAGAGAAACCCUGCCUUGAAAAACCAAGGAAAAAAAAAGGGUAGGUGCAUUAAAAUUUCUCUAUGUACUGUGAUGCUCCCACAUGUGCAAACAUACAUG